rnacentral:rRNA from 1 species
GACGAACGCUGGCGGCGUGCUUAACACAUGCAAGUCGAACGGAAAGGCCCUGCUUUUGUGGGGUGCUCGAGUGGCGAACGGGUGAGUAACACGUGAGUAACCUGCCCUUGACUUUGGGAUAACUUCAGGAAACUGGGGCUAAUACCGGAUAGGAGCUCCUGCUGCAUGGUGGGGGUUGGAAAGUUUCGGCGGUUGGGGAUGGACUCGCGGCUUAUCAGCUUGUUGGUGGGGUAGUGGCUUACCAAGGCUUUGACGGGUAGCCGGCCUGAGAGGGUGACCGGCGACAUUGGGACUGAGAUACGCACCAGACUCCUACGGGAGGCAGCAGAGGGGAAUAUUGCGCAAUGGGCGGAAGCCUGAUGCAGAAACGCCGCGUGCGGGAUACCGGCCUUUGGGUUGUAAACCGCUUUCGCCUGUGACGAAGCGUGAGUGACGGUAAUGGGUAAAGAAGCACCGGCUAACUACGUG